rnacentral:rRNA from 1 species
AUUGAACGCUGGCGGCAUGCCUAACACAUGCAAGUCGAGCGGAUGAAGCGAGCUUGCUCCUGGAUUCAUCGGCGGACGGGUGAGUACUGCCUAGGAAUCUGCCUGGUCUCGGGGGAUAACGUCCGGAUACGGGCGCUAAUCUUCCAUACGUCCUGAGGUAGCAUGUGGGGGGGCUUCGGACCUCUCGCUAUCAGAUUAGCCUAGGUCGGAUUAGCUAGUAGGUGGGGUAACGGGCUACAAAGGCGACGAUCCGUAACUGGUAUGAGAGGAAGGUCAGUCACACGGGAACGGAGACACGGUCCAGACUCCUACGGGAGGACGCAGUGGGGAAUAUUGGACGAGGGGCGAAAGGCUAAUACAGGCAAGCCGCGGGUGUGAAGAAGGUCUUAGGAUUGUAAAGCACUUUAAGUUGGGGGGAAGGACAGUAAGUUUAUACCUGGCGAUUUUGACGGUACCGACAGAAUAAGCACCGGCUAACUUCGUG